UCUCAGUCACACACGUACCUCAAGUGAAAGCAAAGUCUGAAGAACGGUGAAUGGAUAAAUGUAUUGUACUGAAACUAUCUGAAGAUUCCCUGAUUUUGUUGCUUGUUGUUCUCAGAAAGGCUUCUGAGAAGCUUUGAUACAAGGCAAAGAAAAGGACAAAGGUAUCUGUAAAAAAUCAAUUUCAGAAAAUGGGUUUGGAGAAGAGUCUGCACAAAAUUAUUAAAGUCAAUAUCCUCAGUGUCUGUAGAUCCUAUCACCUCUUCAGACCAUGCCUUGAUCAACAUCGCUUUGACAAUGCAACAGAUGCAGAUGAGAGACUCAUAGUGG
rnacentral:lncRNA from 1 species